GAUGAACGCUGGCGGCGUGCUUAACACAUGCAAGUCGAACGGUGAACACGGAGCUUGCUCUGUGGGAUCAGUGGCGAACGGGUGAGUAACACGUGAGCAACCUGCCCCUGACUCUGGGAUAAGCGCUGGAAACGGCGUCUAAUACUGGAUAUGUGACGUGACCGCAUGGUCUGCGUUUGGAAAGAUUUUUCGGUUGGGGAUGGGCCCGCGGCCUAUCAGCUUGUUGGUGAGGUAAUGGCUCACCAAGGCGUCGACGGGUAGCCGGCCUGAGAGGGUGACCGGCCACACUGGGACUGAGACACGGCCCAGACUCCUACGGGAGGCAGCAGUGGGGAAUAUUGCACAAUGGGCGCAAGCCUGAUGCAGCAACGCCGCGUGAGGGAUGACGGCCUUCGGGUUGUAAACCUCUUUUGGCAGGGAAGAAGCGAGAGUGACGGUAACUGCAGAAGAAGCGCCGGCUAACUACGUG
rnacentral:rRNA from 1 species